rnacentral:rRNA from 1 species
AGUGAACGCUGGCGGCAGGCCUAAUACAUGCAAGUCGAACGGCAGCACAGUGGAGCUUGCUCCAUGGGUGGCGAGUGGCGGACGGGUGAGGAAUACAUGGGAAUCUGCCCAGUCGUGGGGGAUAACGUAUGGAAACGUACGCUAAUACCGCAUGCGCCCUUCGGGGGAAAGUCGGGGACCGCAAGGCCUGACGCGAUUGGAUGAGCCCAUGUUCGAUUAGCUAGUUGGCGGGUAACGGCCCACCAAGGCGACGAUCGAUAGCUGGUCUGAGAGGAUGAUCAGCCACACUGGAACUGAGACACGGUCCAGACUCCUACGGGAGGCAGCAGUAGGGAAUAUUGGACAAUGGGCGCAAGCCUGAUCCAGCCAUGCCGCGUGAGUGAAGAAGGCCCUCGGGUUGUAAAGCUCUUUGUUGGGAAGAAAAGCAGUUGGUUAAUACCCGAUUGUUCUGACGGUACCCAAAGAAUAAGCACCGGCUAACUUCGUGCCAGCAGCCG